rnacentral:lncRNA from 1 species
AAUGCGAAGUGGAACAAGAGGAGUUCAAGUUCCAGAAGAGGCCGUCCCUAUCCUCUGGUUUCGAGGGCAGCAGAAGCCCCGCCCACGCCGUAUGCUUCCGGUUGGAGCCCAGGUCCACCCUCCGGAUUCAGGGGCUGGCAACCACACCUAGCUCCCUCCCCCUGCAACCCCGCACCCCGCCUGGUAAAAGUCCAGCCCAUCUGCUGUCUGCUGCCCCACCUCCUCCGGCACCACCCCGUGCAAACUCAGCGCCACCCAGCCCUGCACCCACCCCCAGCAUUCCACCGUCGGGUGUCCGUUGGAAGGCAGGUCUGGAAGCUCUUAGCCCAGCAUCAAACAGAGUGCUCUAGGAGCUGAGGGGAGGGCUGAAGGGCAGAGAGCAAGCAAGACAGCAGGCCUCCUUGUUACGGCAAGAAAUUGUAUUUUAUUUAUAUAUGUUAUGUCUCACUGCUCAGCAACCAGGCUCGGGGGGGGAGAGGAAGAGGUCUCCUGCUGCAGUGGGCUAGGGUGACUCAUCCCUGCACACUCUGGCCUCUGGCCCUAGGUUAGCAGACUCAUGAUAACGCCAGCGUGGACGCCAGCUGCUCUCUGGGCUGUGGAAUUCCAAGGCUUGGCACAGCACUGGCUUGCAGCUUCUCACCUGAGCAGGAGAUAACAGGGAGCUUGGACAAUAGUAGCUCCAGGCCCAGCGCAAACCCUUUUGGGGAGCCACAGAGCCCCAGGAGGAGAACAGAGCGGUGCUGCCUCCAGGCCUAAGCUGCCCAUGUUGAGAGGCUGUGCUUCUCCUUCGUGCUGCCGCCUGGAGACUGAUCCCCGGAGCUGCCCACCCUGCCCCUCUCCUUCCCACACCGCCCUGUGGCCAGCCUACUUCCUGCAUUUCCAUUUAACCAAGGAAACCCUUUAAAGAAGAGAGGAUCAGCCUGAUGCCAUGGCAUGAAGUCCUCCCACCCGCAGCUCUGCUCCUGGUAUUUCAGUUACAGCCUUUGAAAGAAGAAAUGUGACUUAACUUUUCAUAGAAUACUCCAAGGAGCAAUAUAAGCAUGCAAGUUCAUUGAUCUGGCUUGUUCAAGCUAAUUAAGUGGCCACUCAUUUCAACUAAGAUUGGGAUCUUUGGAGGAGAAAACACAUUUUGGUUUUAAUUUAGAAAUCUUUGCCUGCCUCAUUGGGCACUUGUGAGACUCACUCUCACAUUUAUUUCUCAAAUGCCCAAUCCCAAAUUCUUUUUUUUUUCCUUUUGGUGCCAGGGAUUAAACUCGGGACCUUGUGCUUGCCAGGCAGGGUGGUCCCAUUAAGCUAAAUCCCCGGCCCUUUUUUUUUUUUUUUUUG